rnacentral:rRNA from 1 species
AGAGUUUGAUCCUGGCUCAGAUUGAACGCUGGCGGCAUGCCUUACACAUGCAAGUCGAACGGCAGCACGGGAGCAAUCCUGGUGGCGAGUGGCGAACGGGUGAGUAAUAUAUCGGAACGUGCCCAGUCGUGGGGGAUAACGCAGCGAAAGCUGUGCUAAUACCGCAUACGAUCUAUGGAUGAAAGCGGGGGAUCGCAAGACCUCGCGCGAUUGGAGCGGCCGAUAUCAGAUUAGCUAGUUGGUGGGGUAAAAGCUCACCAAGGCGACGAUCUGUAGCUGGUCUGAGAGGACGACCAGCCACACUGGAACUGAGACACGGUCCAGACUCCUACGGGAGGCAGCAGUGGGGAAUUUUGGACAAUGGGCGCAAGCCUGAUCCAGCAAUGCCGCGUGCAGGAUGAAGGCCUUCGGGUUGUAAACUGCUUUUGUACGGAACGAAACGGCUCUGUCUAAUACACGGGGCUAAUGACGGUACCGUAAGAAUAAGCACCGGCUAACUACGUGCCAGCAGCCGCGGUAAUACGUAGGGUGCGAGCGUUAAUCGGAAUUACUGGGCGUAAAGCGUGCGCGGGCGGUGAUGUAAGACAGAUGUGAAAUCCCCGGGCUCAACCUGGGACCUGCAUUUGUGACUGCAUCGCUGGAGUGCGGCAGAGGGGGAUGGAAUUCCGCGUGUAGCAGUGAAAUGCGUAGAUAAGCGGAGGAACACCGAUGGCGAAAGGCAAUCCCCUGGGCCUGCACUGACGCUCAUGCACGAAAGCGUGGGGAGCAAACAGGAUUAGAUACCCUGGUAGUCCACGCCCUAAACGAUGUCAACUGGUUGGUUGGGUCUUCACUGACUCAGUAACGAAAGCUACGCGUGAAGUUGACCGCUGGGGAGUACGGGCCGCAAGUUGAACUCAAAUGAAUUGACGG